CUUCUUUCUUUCGUCGCUAGGGUGCUCAGGUGUGAGGUGGUUCCUUCAGAGCGCCUCAGGAGAUCAAGACCCCCUGUUAUUUGCAAAGGCUUUUGCAAAUGUCUUCGUCCUUAUGCAAGAAGGAUUUCCUGAUUCUUCAGUAUGGCUCAGUCCUGGGUGACCAAACAGGCCAUUCUGAUCCAGCUACAUUGGAAGGACUUUUGACUGACAAGCUGUGGUAGAGGGAAAAGGUGACUUCGGAAAUGUUUGGAGUAAUGUUGAGAAUAAUGGUUCCAAUGAUGGAGUUCCACAUCUGAGCUAGAAGAGGAUUCUCCCAAUAGUUACCCUGGCAAGAGAGAGAUAGUAAGGUGAUUGAUGGACAGAGGAGUGAUCUGCUUUGCAGCAUAUUGAUCAAACUGGCCAGUGUUCUGGAGGAAGUCUGUCUUCUGCUGCCUAAGGAGUUAACUUGAAAACUGACAGGACUUUGAAAGGCUUGAAGCUGCAGUCCUGUCCAGAAGGGGAAGUGUGUAACCAGAGAGCACUGAGAUCUAGUUCUCAAAAUCUUCUGAAAAAUCCCUUGACCAAGGGAGGCCAAGCUAAAAAGAAGGGAGCAGGCACUCUCAAUAAUGGCUCCCCAAUGGUGGAAUCAGCUGCCAGAGGUGUGAGCCCUGCAGGACCUCAUUCAGUUCUGCACGGCUUGUAAAACCAUUGUUUUCCAACUUGUUUUUAAGGUGGAAUCCUGUUAAUGACAUCUAGCCAUCUUUAUAUAUAUGUAUUCAACCGGUAGCAUCUUCAAUUUAUACUGGUUUUAAUUUAUUUACUUAACUAAUUUAUGAAUUUCUAAUUUUAUUGUAAUCAUGGUAUGUUACCAUGUCUUGUGAGCUGCCCUGAGCUUGCCUUGGCAGGAUAUAAAUAAAAAUUUAUUAUUAUUAACCAGAAGAUAAAAUCUAAUGGUAUGACACCUGCAUAAUAAAAUUGUUCUUUGAAAUUUU